CAUUAUCAACCAUGCAGAAAAAGGCAUUUCAACUCCUAACUGAGUUGUUAUAAUAUAUGUUCGAUAUUGAAUGGAUACAACGACCAAGAAAAACGCCAGAGGUACUGUGUUCGCGCCCGAGGAUAUGAAAACAGAAAUGGAAAUCAUGAUCGCCUGAGGAACACCGACGUUAAUGGAAUUGCAAGUGGCGUUGUGCAUGUCCAUGUGUUAUAUGCAUUAUGUAUUUAGUUAUGUGUAUAUAUUGUGGACAUGCUUUUCAUAUAUAGAAUUUGUUUGUACA